rnacentral:rRNA from 1 species
AGCCUACCCUGGCCGAUCCGCGGUCGCUGGAGUCGCGUGUAGCACUGACGUGGCGCUGCGGAGGCAGAGCGAGUCGCCCGUGACGUGCGUCAGGGGUGGCCAGGCUGCGUCAGCAGCGUCGGCAGGCCGGGACACCGAACGCGACGAGCCCGCUCCCGGCGGUGAGAGGAGUCAGAGGCGGCGCAGCGCGGGGUCCCCGGUCGUGGCUCUGGGCUUCCUGAGCCGGUUGACGGGGCGUCCCGCGUGCCGCGUCGCUUUUGACGGCGACUGACCAGGUGCGCCCUCACGCCAGCUCUCGCUGCUCGCCAGGGUGGCCGCUGCCCAGGGCUCCCCUAGGGAGGCGGUCUCCCGCGAGUAGCUAGGCGGACAGAGGUGUCUCCUGGCUCGGCCGGAGUAGCG